AGCGGCGGAUGGGUGAGUAACACGUGGGGAACCUGCCCCCAAGUCUGGGAUACCACUUGGAAACAGGUGCUAAUACCGGAUAAUAAAGCAGAUCGCAUGAUCAGCUUUUGAAAGGCGGCGUAAGCUGUCGCUAAGGGAUGGCCCCGCGGUGCAUUAGCUAGUUGGUAAGGUAACGGCUUACCAAGGCGACGAUGCAUAGCCGAGUUGAGAGACUGAUCGGCCACAUUGGGACUGAGACACGGCCCAAACUCCUACGGGAGGCAGCAGUAGGGAAUCUUCCACAAUGGACGCAAGUCUGAUGGAGCAACGCCGCGUGAGUGAAGAAGGUUUUCGGAUCGUAAAGCUCUGUUGUUGGUGAAGAAGGAUAGAGGUAGUAACUGGCCUUUAUUUGACGGUAAUCAACCAGAAAGUCACGGCUAACUACGUGCCAGCAGCCGCGGUAAUACGUAGGUGGCAAGCGUUGUCCGGAUUUAUUGGGCGUAAAGCGAGCGCAGGCGGAAAAAUAAGUCUAAUGUGAAAGCCCUCGGCUUAACCGAGGAACUGCAUCGGAAACUGUUUUUCUUGAGUGCAGAAGAGGAGAGUGGAACUCCAUGUGUAGCGGUGGAAUGCGUAGAUAUAUGGAAGAACACCAGUGGCGAAAGCGGCUCUCUGGUCUGCAACUGACGCUGAGGCUCGAAAGCAUG
rnacentral:rRNA from 1 species